UGAGGUACUUAUAGUGCAUUGUUCAAUGAGCGUUCGCUCUUCGUACGUAUGAUGCUGUCCAUCUGUUGAAAGUUCAUGUCCCCUCAUUAGAGCGCAUACCUUACUAAGGAUGAACCUUUUUGGAUGGAACACUAAAACUACAUUUACUAAAGGCCUAAUCUCACACCAUUCGGUUAGGUUAAAUUUCCCGCGAGCUUAGCUUUACCAAACUUUUAAAACGUGGUAGGUAUAUUUCAUUAAUGUCUAAAAUAAGUUUGAGUACUCUAAAUUAGCUAAAUGUGUAUUGUAUUGUUCAAUUUACAAUGUCUAUACAGUGGUUGGCUGAAUAAACAUAAUGUGUAAAUG